AUCUCAUAUGAAAUAGAAAAUUUAAAAAAUUAAUACACUAGCAUUAUAAUUAUUCCUAGAAAGAGAAGUGUAAGUGUGAUCUUAACUGAUUGGAUGAGAAAAAAAUUUCUAUUAUUACUACACCAAUCCUGAUUUACUAGGAUGUAUGGAGAGAAAGAAAUUUAUGCAAUACUUAAAAAAGAAAAGAAUGAGUAGCUCCACAAAUGCCAAACAUGCAUGGAGUGAAUUUAUAAAGUAUGGGUAGUGUUGAUCUUAUCAGAAAUAAGGAGCAACCUAAUUCGAAGGUAGACAAAGAUAGGAAGUGGUUGCUGCCACUGCAAGGGAGAUUAAAAGUGAAUUGCGAUGCGCCAUUUGUGGAUAGCAACUCCCUAUCUUCUCUCUAUCCAUAACGCUCUAACGUCUCUAUACAUAUAAGAUCCUUUCUAUUAGGGUUUGGUGGUGGGUUUGCCAUCGGUGGCUCCGGCUACUAGUGGCUAACCCCUUGUUUUAUUCUUUGUUAUCCUUUGUUUUUGUAUAUAUUAUUUAGUCUAGAUCUGUUGUUUGUAUGUGUAUUUUUAUUGUCCAAUCCUCUUGGGUCUAAAUUUUUUUUCUUUAUAGUUCUAAUGGUCGUUAGUUGUCUAACUAUUUUUGUGUCGGUUAAUUUUGGAUCUCUUGUCAAUCAAAGUUCUAUGAGACACCAUUCAUUAGUGGUGAUUGACAGAGAGAAAGGGAGAAAACUUGUUAGAAGGCAAUAAAAGAGGCAAUCAAGUGCUAUUAAGGUUACUCAUGGCAUCAUCUACACUCUAAUCACUUGGGAUAAAGGAAUAAAUGUCUGCCGGAAAAGGAUGUUCAUCGUUAAUGGCGGGAGUUAAUCAAAGUGAGUCUCGUAAAGCCGAAGGUUCAAGAUGAGGAACUUGAGUGCUAGGGGUUGUACAUAUCUUUUUACUUGUUAUGUGACUUUCGUCAUUGAGAAAACGUUGGGAUGCACAUGAUGCCUUUAGGGUCUGCACCUCGUCGUUAUCUUUUUGGGGUAGUUCUACAUGCAUGUAUGACAUGAAAGCAAGACUGAGCAACAUACUCGAUGGAUUAUUGCCUAUGUUAUGAUAGGACUUCUUGGUAGAUUAACAUAUAAAAUGGA